CUUAACACAUGCAAGUCGAGGGGCAGCAUCAUCAAAGCUUGCUUUGAUGGAUGGCGACCGGCGCACGGGUGAGUAACACGUAUCCAACCUGCCGACUACACUGGGAUAGCCUUUCGAAAGAAAGAUUAAUACCGGAUGGCAUAAUUAUUCCGCAUGGGAUAAUUAUUAAAGAAUUUCGGUUGUCGAUGGGGAUGCGUUCCAUUAGGCAGUUGGCGGGGUAACGGCCCACCAAACCUACGAUGGAUAGGGGUUCUGAGAGGAAGGUCCCCCACAUUGGAACUGAGACACGGUCCAAACUCCUACGGGAGGCAGCAGUGAGGAAUAUUGGUCAAUGGACGAGAGUCUGAACCAGCCAAGUAGCGUGAAGGAUGACUGCCCUAUGGGUUGUAAACUUCUUUUAUACGGCAAUAAAGUGAGCCACGUGUGGCUUUUUGUAUGUACCGUAUGAAUAAGGAUCGGCUAACUCCGUGCCAGCAGCCGCGGUAAUACGGAGGAUUCGAGCGUUAUCCGGAUUUAUUGGGUUUAAAGGGAGCGUAGGCGGGUUGUUAAAUCAGUUGUGAAAGUUUGCGGCUCAACCGUAAAAUUGCAGUUGAUACUGGCGACCUUGAGUGCAACAGAGGUAGGCGGAAUUCGUGGUGUAGCGGUGAAAUGCUUAGAUAUCACGAAGAACUCCGAUUGCGAAGGCAGCUUACUGGAUUGUAACUGACGCUGAUGCUCGAAAGUGUGGGUAUCAAACAGGAUUAGAUACCCUGGUAGUCCACACAGUAAACGAUGAAUACUCGCUGUUGGCGAUAUACAGUCAGCGGCCAAGCGAAAGCAUUAAGUAUUCCACCUGGGGAGUACGCCGGCAACGGUGAAACUCAAAGGAAUUGACGGGGGCCCGCACAAGCGGAGGAACAUGUGGUUUAAUUCGAUGAUACGCGAGGAACCUUACCCGGGCUUAAAUUGCAACUGACGGAACCGGAAACGGUUCUUUCUUCGGACAGUUGUGAAGGUGCUGCAUGGUUGUCGUCAGCUCGUGCCGUGAGGUGUCGGCUUAAGUGCCAUAACGAGCGCAACCCUUACGGGUAGUUACCAUCAGGUUAUGCUGGGGACUCUACCCGGACUGCCGUCGUAAGAUGUGAGGAAGGUGGGGAUGACGUCAAAUCAGCACGGCCCUUACGUCCGGGGCUACACACGUGUUACAAUGGGGGGUACAGAAGGCAGCUACACGGCGACGUGGUGCUAAUCCCAAAAGCCUCUCUCAGUUCGGAUUGGAGUCUGCAACCCGACUCCAUGAAGCUGGAUUCGCUAGUAAUCGCGCAUCAGCCACGGCGCGGUGAAUACGUUCCCGGGCCUUGUACACACCGCCCGUCAAGCCAUGAAAGCCGGGGGUACCUGAAGUACGUAACCGCGAGGAGCGUCCUAGGGUAAAACUGGUGAUUGGGGCUAAGUCGUAACAAGGUA
rnacentral:rRNA from 1 species